rnacentral:rRNA from 1 species
CGGGUAGGCGGCCAAGAAAGUCGGGUGUGAAAGCCCAGGGCUCAACCCUGGAAGUGCAUCCGAAACUGCUUGGCUUGAGUACCGGAGAGGGUGGUGGAAUUCCUGGUGUAGAGGUGAAAUUCGUAGAUAUCAGGAGGAACACCCGAGGCGAAGGCGACCACCUGGACGGAUACUGACGCUGAGCCGCGAAAGCGUGGGGAGCAAACA